GAAGAUCUCUGUGUGCUGAUUUAAGGCUGCCACUGGUUUAUUUAUAUGGUCUGAGCAUCCAUCAAGGGAGACAUCAUAUCUCAAGUCAGUUCAUCAGGGAGUUCACCGUUUCUGAAGAUCAGAAACACUGCACGCAGAUCAAGAUCAGCAACCGGACAUAUACUUAUGGAAAAUGACAAAUAUUUCUCUGGAGAAGCCAAAACAGAAGAACUACGCUUUGUUCAACAGCACAAGGGAGAUGAGUAGCCAUGGAAACCUGCUAUGCAAGCCUGCAACAGGAGUGUCGGCAGGGGCGCACGGUGGUCACAUUCAGGCGAAGGUCGCCUAUGCUCCUGCUAAAUCUGAUGAACCCCAACCUAUAUACAAUCCUCGUAUAUAUUCACCUGUUCGUUGCAUUUCCUGCUCCUUUCUCCCUGACUUUAUGUCUCAUCCGUCUUUGUUAAAUGGGGCCGUGGAACGCAAUGGCUUAGACGCAUAGUCAUCAGGUUCGGUAAGAUCAUAUCGAUCUUAAUUAACGAUUACUAAAGCAAGUGUACCGAGUAAAGCAAACGGCAGCAGAGAUUAAUUAGAUAUUUAUAAUA